CCCAUGUGCAAGUACAGUCCAGGCUAUCUUAGGGACUGCCCUCAACCCAAGGGGAAAUGAGAAAGGUUGGAUAAAUAUCUCUGAUUCCUAUCCUAUGGGAGAAUAUCUUUGAGAGCACCACCUGGGGGCUCAAAGGCUGGGUGAUGGAACCAUCUGAAGUCUUGCUUACUUGAUGUCUGUUAACUGAUGCUGGCUUCCAGCUAGGACCUUAGCUGAAGAUAUGUCUGGAAUGCUUACAUGUGGUCUUCUGUGUGACUGUUAAAUGUGGGAGAGUUAAAUGCCUUAGGAGCCAGAGGUAUGUAAUGAGGACAUCUAAGCAACUCGGUGGAAAAGCCCAUGUGGAGAGAAACUGAGGCCCCACAGCAACAAUCAAGUUGCCAGCCUUAUGAAGAAGCUACUUUGGAAGUAUAUAUGCCAGAUCUAGUCAAGUUUCACAUUUUGACAGAACCAGCAAACAUCUUGACAAUCUCAUGAGAGACCCCAAGCCAGAACAGCCAAGCUAAAUUACUCGUGAAUUCCUGACCCCC